rnacentral:rRNA from 1 species
GACGAACGCUGGCGGCGUGCCUAACACAUGCAAGUCAACUUGACUGAAGGAGCAAUCUGACAGUAGAGUGGCGCAAGGGUGCGUAACGCGUAAGUAACUUGCCCCAAGGUAAGGAAUAACGUCGAGAAAUCGGCGCUAAUACCUCAUAAUGCAGCGGAUCCGCAUGGAUAUGUUGUUAAAGGUUUACCGCCUUGGGAUAGGCUUGCGUCUGAUUAGUUAGUUGGUGUGGUAACGGCACACCAAGGCUACGAUCAGUAACUGGUCUGAGAGGAUGAUCAGUCACACUGGAACUGAGACACGGUCCAGACUCCUACGGGAGCAGCAGUGAGGAAUAUUGGGCAAUGCUCGAAAGAGUGACCCAGCAACGCCGCGUGGAGGAUGAAGGUAUUCUAUAUCGUAAACUCCUGUGAGAGCAGACGAAAGACAGAUUAUAAUCUGGAUGACUGUAUGCUCAGAGGAAGCCCCGGCUAAC